GUCAGCGUGGUGUAGUGGUUUGAGCAUUGGAUUAGGACCCUGGGAGACCAAGGUUCAAAUCCUGGCUCUGCCC